rnacentral:rRNA from 1 species
UCGCCGCGUCCAAGAAUACUUCAAGACAGAGUUGGACAUGUUUCGUUCAUUCAGAGUGAGAGGAACCCACGUACCGAGUUGUAAAAGUGUAAAGAUUGAGUGAUGAUGAUUUACAUGAUUCCAGAGAUAUAAUGUUGGUUAGUUUAGCAUCUAAAUGCUCUUAUAUUUCUUUAAAGAGGGAGUAACAUAUUGUACUGUCAUUUUAACUUUCAGAAGCAAGACGCCUUAGUAAGCAUGUGGAUUGAAGCCUGCAAGUCCAAACCCUUCCAUGAAGCAUGUGACCCAAGAAGAAAAGAAUGCUCACAAGAAGAAUAAAAUCACACUGACAACACAUAAUAAUAAAUAAUAUAAUCUAGUAAGCUGAGCAGGUUGGGGGCCAAAGCUGGCUUGUGGCUUGGCUGUCUCUGAAACUCUGUUUGAAAGGAUGGAGUGGGCAAUGGCAAUGGGGGAAAGAAAGCACACUCCAUGUGAGAUGAGAUGUGGGUGAUAUCUCCGCAGCUGCUGUAUAAGCCUCAAGAAAAGACGCGGAGGAGAGAUUUUGGUCAGACGUGAGAAACCUACCAAGUUCUAAGUGAAAAGAAUAUUAUGUUGAGAGUAAAACUCACAAACUUUGGGUACUAAAUGGAGC